UACGUAGGGGGCAAGCGUUGUUCGGAAUUACUGGGCGUAAAGGGCGCGUAGGCGGCAUGGCAAGUCGGGAGUGAAAGCCCGGGGCUCAACCCCGGAGGGUCUCUCGAAACUGCCAAGCUAGAGUGCGGAAGAGGCAACUGGAAUUCCCAGUGUAGCGGUGAAAUGCGUAGAUAUUGGGAAGAACACCGGAGGCGAAGGCGAGUUGCUGGGCCGACACUGACGCUGAGGCGCGAAAGCCAGGGGAGCAAACGGG
rnacentral:rRNA from 1 species